GAUGAACGCUGGCGGCGUGCCUAAUACAUGCAAGUCGAGCGAACGGACGAGAAGCUUGCUUCUCUGAUGUUAGCGGCGGACGGGUGAGUAACACGUGGAUAACCUACCUAUAAGACUGGGAUAACUUCGGGAAACCGUAGCUAAUACCGGAUAAUAUUUUGAACCGCAUGGUUCAAAAGUGAAAGACGGUCUUGCUGUCACUUAUAGAUGGAUCCGCGCUGCAUUAGCUAGUUGGUAAGGUAACGGCUUACCAAGGCAACGAUGCAUAGCCGACCUGAGAGGGUGAUCGGCCAUACUGGAACUGAGACACGGUCCAGACUCCUACGGGAGGCAGCAGUAGGGAAUCUUCCGCAAAGGGCGAAAGCCUGACGGAGCAACGCCGCGUGAGUGAUGAAGGUCUUCGGAUCGUAAAACUCUGUUAUUAGGGAAGAACAUAUGUGUAAGUAACUGUGCACAUCUUGACGGUACCUAAUCAGAAAGCCACGGCUAACUACGUG
rnacentral:rRNA from 1 species